GGAGUGCACUCCUACGGGAGGCAGCAGUGGGGAAUAUUGCACAAUGGGCGCAAGCCUGAUGCAGCCAUGCCGCGUGUAUGAAGAAGGCCUUCGGGUUGUAAAGUACUUUCAGCAGUGAGGAAGGUGGAUAUGUUAAUAGCAUAUUCAUUUGACGUUAGCUGCAGAAGAAGCACCGGCUAACUCCGUGCCAGCAGCCGCGGUAAUACGGAGGGUGCGAGCGUUAAUCGGAAUUACUGGGCGUAAAGCGCAUGCAGGUGGUUUGUUAAGUCAGAUGUGAAAGCCCGGGGCUCAACCUCGGAAUUGCAUUUGAAACUGGCAAACUAGAGUACUGUAGAGGGGGUAGAAUUUCAGGUGUAGCGGUGAAAUGCGUAGAGAUCUGAAGGAAUACCGGUGGCGAAGGCGGCCCCCUGGACAGAUACUGACACUCAGAUGCGAAAGCGUGGGGAGCAAACAGGAUUAGAUACCCUGGUAG
rnacentral:rRNA from 1 species